CAUGUCUUUUUGGUAAUAAUUUAAAGUCUAAUCUGCUCAAUGAAAAUUAAAUAGCUGCAGUAUUUUGACUGUGCAAAGGUAGCGUGAUAAUUAGUUUUUUAAUUAAAAACUUGUAUGAAUGAUUUGACAAGAAAAUUUCUGUCUCUUUUUAAUGAUUUAUGAAUUUAACUUUUAAGUUUAAAGGCUUAAAUUUUUAUAAAAGACAAGAAGACCCCAUAGAGUUUUAUUUUUUUUAUAUUUUUAGGAUAAUUAAGCUUAAAGAAAAUUAGUUGGGGUAACUUUAAGAUUAACUAAAUUCUUAAAAUUUAAAAUCAUUGAUUUAUGAAUUUAAAAUCUAAAUUAUUAAAUUUAAUUAAAUUACCUUGGGGAUAACAGCAUAAUUCUUUUUUAGAGUUCUUAUCAAAAAUUGGGAUUAUGACCUCGAUGUUGGAUUAAAAUUUAUUUUUGGUGAAGAAGCUUAAAUAUUAAGUCUGUUCGACUUUUAAAAUUUUACAUGAUCUGAGU
rnacentral:rRNA from 1 species